rnacentral:tRNA from 2 species
CGGGCUAUGGUAUAAAGGCUAUUAUGCACGCUUCGGGUGCGUGCGAUCCCAGUUCAAUUCUGGGUAGCCCGACCA